GUUUUGAUGGCCGAGUUCAAGCGAUAAAUUGUAAAUUUAUUAACGAUAGUUAUCUCAAAUU
rnacentral:tRNA from 1 species